rnacentral:rRNA from 1 species
AACGAACGCUGGCGGCAGGCUUAACACAUGCAAGUCGAACGCACCUUCCGGGGUGAGUGGCAGACGGGUGAGUAACGCGUGGGAAUCUACCCUUCUCUACGGGAUAGCUCCGGGAAACUGGAAUUAAUACCGUAUACGUCCUGAGGGAGAAAGAUUUAUCGGGGAAGGAUGAGCCCGCGUUGGAUUAGCUAGUUGGUGGGGUAAAGGCCUACCAAGGCGACGAUCCAUAGCUGGUCUAAGAGGAUGAUCAGCCACAUUGGGACUGAGACACGGCCCAAACUCCUACGGGAGGCAGGAGUGGGGAAUAUUGGACAAUGGGGGCAAGCCUGAUGCAGCCAUGCCGGGUGAGUGAUGAAGGCCGUAGGGUUGUAAAGCUCUUUCAGGGGGGACGAUAAUGACGGUACCCACAGAAGAAGCCCCGGCUAACUUCGUG